AACGUAGGAGACAAACGUUAUCCGGAGUUACUGGGCGUAAAGGGCGUGUAGGCGGUUUGUUAAGUCUGGCGUGAAAGCUCUCGGCUAAACCGGGAGAGGUCGUUGGAUACUGGCAAACUAGAGGACGGUAGAGGCGUGUGGAAUUCCGGGUGUAGCGGUGAAAUGCGCAGAUAUCAGGAGGAACACCGGUGGCGAAGGCGGGUCUCUGGGCAAUUCCUGACGCUGAGGCGCGAAAGCGUGGGGAGCAAACGGG
rnacentral:rRNA from 1 species